rnacentral:lncRNA from 1 species
AAUUAUUUGAUUUAUUUUUCUAAGAUGCACUACAUUCAUUCGUUAGCUGUUUGAGAGACCGAUUUGUCCAAGUAGAAAUCAGGUAAUAUCUAUGUGAUAUUUAGUAUCCAAGUUAUAGAAAAUAUCCAAGGUAAACAUGCAUUGACUAGGCCGUACUGAGCGCGAGGAUGGCGAAGACUGCUGCUGACCGCUCUCAUGGUGGUAGGGCACCAACACUAGAGGUGGAUUGGUCCAGAUCAGGUGCCGUCUUGGACAUCGUCCUCAUCCCCAUCUCCACUGGUAGAGCUCAAAGCCCUUGGUUACUUCCUUCUGUCCAACACAAUAGUGCAGUAUAUGAUAGUAAUCAGAUUGAUGUGUGAUAUAUAGGAACAACUUACUCGAGCAUGAUACACCAAAUUAUAUAUUGUGUCUUUUUUAGCUGCACCAUCAACGGGCAAUGGCUUCCUCUGAAUUUGCUUGCAGUGCAAUACGUCAGUAAUGGAGCAGGAAAAUGCGAUGCCAUCAUCCAGAACUCAAGAUAGGGUUGUCAGUGUUACUAAUUGGGGUGAGAAAUGUUAGAAAUUUUCCGACCAAACUCUUCUUAGAGGCAAGAUAACAUCCACGCAUCGGCAUUAUGCAUCCCGACUCAACAUCAACAGGUUAUGUUGAUGUGAUCCAGUCAUUCAUGCAGGCUCAGCAUCAGGUAAUUAGAUAUUUUCGCGCCCCUACUGUCCUACGUGCGCCCAUCUGACUGAGCAAUGCACCGGUAAGUACGUAACAGGCACAAUCUAUUUCUACAAGUAGUACAACAUAUGGUCGAUCUCUAGAAUAUACAUUAUUAUUUUCUUUGAUUAAUUAUUUCUUUCUUAAGUAUUGCACACAGCCAGAAGAUACGCGCUAUCCGUGACACAGGAGAUAGGAUAACGUCAUGGAAUUUUGGUAGACCGUAAGUUGUUUACCAGACGAGAUGAUAGAAGAUACAUAUAGAAGUGGGAAAUAUCAAGCACACACAAGUUAAGGUAUGCAACAGGUCUCUAUCGAUAAAAUACCUUUAAAAUAUAUAUAACUAAAGGUGAUAACCAAGCAACAAUGCUAAUAGAAAACAAUAAGAUCAAUAGGUUCCUCAAGUACACGUACAUAUCACGCAAUGAUGCGUGCUGAAGACUAUUUCAGUUCAAAAUGCACUUUCAAGAUCUCUGCAUCAAAAGGUUGCGUUUCCACCUGGAGAAUGAGCAACAAAUCAUUUUAACUGAUUAUACAGAUUUAACAAACAUCAUAAGGUAAGAAAGAGUGGGGAUAACAAAAUUUACACGGUGGAUGGAGACAAACAAGAUCCUGUGAAGCAAGAGAAUUAACAUAUGCAGAGUUCCCGUUAAAAUAGGUAUGGAAGGAAAAAGAGAAAAAGUGGGGCAAAACAAAGAAAGGAAGAUCCGUUGGAAGGAUAUAUUAUGCUCAUACAACAAAUGGUGAAAAAUACUACAUGAGAAUGCUACUUAACGCCCACAAAGGAUGCAUGUCUUUCAAAAGGAACCGUAAAUGGAGUUGUCCACACUUCAUACAUAUUUGCUUGCGAAGCACUAGGAUUUCAACGACAGAGUGGAUUGAGUGCAUAAAUGGGGCAUCAGACUGGGUGAUUGGCUACCAGCUAAGACAACUGUUCAAAAUUCUUAUGCCACUGAAGUCACAAGCCCAAAAAUAUUGUGGGGGACAUGCUGAGAAGUUCUAAGCAAACACAUGGAGUAUAGGUAGAGAAGACUCUUGAACUAUCCUACACUUUGACUAACAGAUACACAAAAGCAAGGAUACGCCUUGGUGAAAGUAGAUAAGCUCAUGAGACAAGCUGGACAGACAUUUAAGGAAUACCCCGGAAUACAACAUUCGAAUUCUUCUCAGAUAAAGGAACUUGGAAACAGACUGCACAAUGAAGAGAUGAAUUAUAACAAAGAGGAAUAAAAGAACAUCAUUCCAGGAUCUUUGGCAAUAUGAACUCUCAACAACUACAUGUGUUUAAUUCAGUAAUGGAAUCAAUGAACAAAAAUUUGGGAAAUAAUAUAUUUGUGGACGGCUAUGGCGGGAUCUGUAUGACAUACCUACGAAGGCAAUCACAGCAAAGUUGUGUUCCGAAGGAAAGAUAGUACUAGCAGUGAUGUCAUCUCAUAUUGCAGAGCUGCUUCUAUAGGGAGCACACUCGAGGUUCCACAUCCCCCUAUCCUUGCAGAAGAGUCAACAUGUUAAGGUUCCCACUUGACCUACUAAAAAAGACAUCACUUAUACUAUGGGAUGAAGGUCCAAUGGCAAACAAGAUAUGCUUUGAGGCGCUAGACAGAACUAAAGGUAGGACUAUAUCUGCCUAAACAAGUGUUCACAAAUGGAUAGCUAUAUGUAGCAUUAUCAAGAUUCACAAGAAGAUAUGGACAAUGUGUAGUGGUAAAUGAUGAAGAUAGCAAAGAGGAGGAUGUGUUCAAGAACAUUGUCUAUACUGAAAUAUUUUAAAGGUAUGGAAAAACAAAAACACUUUUAGUAUGAUUCUUAGAUAAGAAUAGGUACAUGAAAAAUUUGUACACUACAAACUAUCUUCAAAAUACAAAUUAAUAGCAUACCAAUGCUGACAUUAUAUGGCAGGACAAAUAUGGUCCAUGCUCUGUGUAAGUACUGGACACAUGCAACAACAUUUGAAGGAAAUAGUUAAUCAAUUCUAAACAUGUACACUAUAUUUUCUGAUAUUUGUGGCUUAAUAUAUAGUACAACACAAUAUAAAGAGCAUUUGUGCAUCAUUAUAAUUUGUAUGUACAAUGCGGUCAGACCUAUUUUACUACCCUGUUAUUAUAAAUACAAUUUUGUCUUUAGGAAAUAUUAAACUAGAGUUACACAAUUACACUGAUUAAUACAUAUAUUUGUUCAAUAUGAAUUGGGGUAAGGUUUAUUAUUUAUACAUGUUAAAUAUGAAUUGGGGUAAGGGGGGCUAAUACUGCCGAUUACGGUCCAAACCUGGAAAAAAGUGUAGGGGCAUAAGAAAAUAAAUAUUCUCCACUAACAGGUAGUACCUUAAUCACAUUAUAUUGGUAUAUACAAUCGUACAAACAUAAUAAAAGGUUAAUAAAAAAAGGGCAAUCAGGAAAAGGAGAAAGGGGGAACCUGUAGGUCGAAGAAAGUUGCCAAUGUGGAGGAUGACAACGAUGUGUCGGUCUGCCUCGACUGGGAACAACGACGAUGCGUCCGACUCGCGCGCUAGGGGAAGACAACGCUGCCGCCAUCCUCACGCUCAAGAUGGAUUCAAGCUGGCAGCGGAAGACAAGAUCCAAGCCCACAUCACCUGCGAGUCGAGCUGGGAGGUGCCUCAGUCGAGGACGAGCAAGCUAAAGAGAAGAAAUGAAGAGAGCAAACUGAUGGUAGCUGAGUUACCAGUCGGAUCUCAUCCGCUCGUAUGAAUUUUGGAAUGAGCGAGCGGAGAGAAGAAGGAAAGGAGAAAAGGGAUCGGGCAAGAGUAAGAUUUUUUAUUUGUAGGGAAGCAACAACAAUACGUCUCUUUUAGCGGUGCAAGAGCAACAUGCUCACAUG